CGGACGGGUGAGUAACGCGUGGGUAACCUGCCUUGUACUGGGGGACAACAGUUAGAAAUGACUGCUAAUACCGCAUAAGCGCACAGUAUCGCAUGAUACAGUAGUGAAAAACUCCGGUGGUACAAGAUGGACCCGCGUCUGAUUAGCUAGUUGGUAAGGUAACGGCUUACCAAGGCGACGAUCAGUAGCCGACCUGAGAGGGUGACCGGCCACAUUGGGACUGAGACACGGCCCAA
rnacentral:rRNA from 1 species